GCACCGCCGUGUCCUAUCAGGCUAGCGGUGCCCCCGCACCAACUACUCCCCCACCGAACCGAGCACGGCCACGGGGUAUCGAGUCGUGACCCACUGGCGGGUGGGCCGAAAUCAUCGUCGGGCCCACGCGUCGGUGUGCGUGGAGCUGGUGAGCUCGUGAGGCAGCGCGCGGAGGAGUGCGGUGGUAGUGGACAGAGAUAGGGGCGGCGGGGCCCACCCUGCUGGGUCGAGCGGGCGGUGGGGGCCGAGUGGGGACGAGGCACGCGUCUCGCUCGUCUCACCCUUUUUCGUCUCUCCUCUGCCUUUCCCCAUCGUCUCUCCGUCUACACCUCAUCAUAAUCACAGAUUCACAGAGCGCUAGGGAGGAGAGAGGGCUAGGGUUUCGUGCUCCCUCACGCAACGAAUCCGAGCCGGAUCGGGGGGUGCGCGGAGUCACCGGCGGCCCGGCGUUGCCUGGGCUGUGAUACAGUUGCAAUGGCAUCUGUAACUGAUGAGACAGCUAAGAUUGAGGGUUUGACAUCUGCUGCAGCCUUUGUGGAGGGUGGCAUUCAGGACGCAUGUGAUGAUGCAUGCAGCAUUUGCCUUGAGGCUUUCUGUGAGAGUGACCCUUCUGCAUUGACUGGCUGCAAACAUGAGUUCCAUCUCCAAUGCAUUCUUGAAUGGUGCCAGAGAAGUUCACAGUGCCCAAUGUGUUGGCAGCCUAUUACUAUGAAGGAUCCUACCAGUCAGGAGCUGCUUGAGGCAGUAGAGCGUGAGAGGAAUAUAAGAACUAAUCAAACUCGGAACACAACUAUAUUUCAUCAUCCUGCUCUUGGGGAUUUUGAGCUGCAGCAUCUGCCUGUUGGUAAUGAUGCUGAGCUUGAAGAGCGUAUACUGCAGCAUCUAGCUGCUGCUGCUGCAAUGGGAAGGGCACACCAUCUUGGAAGAAGGGAGGGGCACAGGGGACGAUCUGGCUCUCAUGGUCGUCCACAUUUCCUAGUUUUCUCUACACAACCAAAUUCACCUUCUGCUGGCACAAUCUCUUCAUCUUCUGCUCAUAUGGAGGGAGAAAAUGAUUCAAAUCCUGCCACACCUAGAGCUAGCGAGUCAUCUCCACGAGCUAUUCGCAUUGGAGAAGUGGGAAACCAAAGUCCUGGGAUGCUUACCUACGAUGCUGAACAGGAUGCUGUCGUUUCUUCCGGAAAUAGCACUCCUGUAUCGAGUCCUAGGUUUUUUAACAGGAGACACUCCACUGGACAGUCAACUCCAGACAGGGCUGGGCCAUCGGAUAUUCAGUCUUUCUCAGACUCCCUGAAGUCCCGCUUAAAUGCCGUCUCUAUGAAGUACAAAGAAUCUAUUACAAAGAGUACUCGAGGGUGGAAGGAGAGAUUGUUUUCACGUAAUUCAUCCGUGGCGGAUCUUGGUUCUGAAGUGAGAAGAGAAGUUAAUGCUGGAAUUGCGUCCGUAUCACGGAUGAUGGAGCGUCUGGAAACUAGAGGAAAUAGCAGAACAAGUGAUAGCCCGGCAGCAUCCACUUCUGAAGUUCCCUCUGCUACAGAAUCAAGCAAUGAAAGGGUUACAGAGAGCAACUCUGCUGCUGCUGCUGCUGGUGGUGGUACUACCACUACGGGUACCAGCGCUAGCAACGCCUCCGCCCCUUGUGUUGCGACAUCCGGUUCAAAUUAGGACAUGUAAGGGUCUCAGAAAGAAGGCUUACACCUGCAAUUCUUCAUCUUCAAAGGUUUGUGAGCCUGGCGGCAGAGCAGAAGUGCAGUAACAUGAUGCCGUCAUUUUUUUCUCAACCACUGCAUAAACGGCUGCAAGGGGAAAAAAACCAAACGGUGAUUUGAUGUAUUGGCUCGAUAAAAUGGUGGUGCGUGUGGCCUAGGAGAAGUCGGAUUUCAUCUUCUGUUUUCGUCUCUUUGUAAAAAAAAUCGUCUGAGGGCAGAUGUUUACCGGUAUAAAUAACGGAUAUGUCAUCUUCAUAGUACGUGGAUCAGUUAUAAAUAUGAUUGGAACAGCAAAGCUUGCUGCUGUUAUAAAGUUGUACCGUGGCACGAUUUCCUGUUCUGUUCUGUGUGGGUGAAUUGAUGGAUUUUGCUGUACACAAGAUAUGCAUCUUUCCAGGUCUCAUGCCUAUGUAUACAUAUACAUAUUACACGAACCUACCUUGAAUC